rnacentral:rRNA from 1 species
UACGAAGGGGGCUAGCGUUGCUCGGAAUCACUGGGCGUAAAGCGCACGUAGGCGGCUUUUUUAAGUCAGGGGUGAAAUCCUGGAGCUCAACUCCAGAACUGCCUUUGAUACUGAGAAGCUUGAGUCCGGGAGAGGUGAGUGGAACUGCGAGUGUAGAGGUGAAAUUCGUAGAUAUUCGCAAGAACACCAGUGGCGAAGGCGGCUCACUGGCCCGGUACUGACGCUGAGGUGCGAAAGCGUGGGGAG